rnacentral:rRNA from 1 species
CAGCCGCCGCGGUAAUACGUAGGGGGCGAGCGUUGUCCGGAAUUAUUGGGCGUAAAGCGCGCGCAGGCGGUCCCUUAAGUCUGAUGUGAAAGCCCACGGCUCAACCGUGGAGGGUCAUUGGAAACUGGGGGACUUGAGUGCAGAAGAGGAGAGCGGAAUUCCACGUGUAGCGGUGAAAUGCGUAGAGAUGUGGAGGAACACCAGUGGCGAAGGCGGCUCUCUGGUCUGUAACUGACGCUGAGGCGCGAAAGCGUGGGGAGCAAACAGGAGUAGAUACCCUGGUAGUCCACGCCGUAAACGAUGAGUGCUAAGUGUUAGAGGGGUUAAACCCUUUAGUGCUGUAGCUAACGCGUUAAGCACUCCGCCUGGGGAGUACGGCCGCAAGGCUGAAACUUAAAGGAAUAGGCGGG